rnacentral:tRNA from 2 species
GGAGAGUUGCCGGAGCGGUUGAACGGGACGGUCUCGAAAACCGUUGUAUCCUUUCGGGUACCCAGGGUUCGAAUCCCUGACUCUCCGCCA